GAAUAAGUUAAUGGUUUGAAGAGUAAGAUGAAAUAAGUUGUAGAGAAGUCAUGAUGUAAUAUGAGUGGUGUAAAUGUUGCCAUGUUUUUUUUUUUUUUAAGUUGCCAUGUUGGAUGUGGCUAUUGGAGAAGACGAAUCACUCGACAACACAAAUGAAAGGGACAUCCGUAGAAACGAGCAUCUUGCACUGUCUCUCGAAUACCAACUCCAUGACUGAACACACUUUGAUCCUUAUAGCUUUCACUAUCAGUUCAGGCAUGCAUGAAUAUAGUAAUUAAUGAAUACGAGAGUCCAGGCUGAGUGCAAACUAAAACUAAAUGCUAUCGUGCAAAAAUGCAUCACUUGCCACCAGAGCCGGUCCUAUACAUUUGGAGGCUACAAGCCAAAAAUCAAAUAAAGGCCGGAAUAAUAUAAAUGCGUUAAGGUGGAGUUGAACCCAGCCUCUCUCACAGUAGAAUUUUGCCUCAAAACCGCUAAGCUAAAGUCAUUAGGAAAUUUUGUGGCCGAUUAUAUAGUUAUUCUUGUGCAGCUGGAACCCCAUGCUUUAUCCGGCACUGCUUGCCACCACACCAUUCUAACAUGUAGAAAAUGACUUGUUUCCCUGACCAAAGUUAGCGCUGUACAUUUGCAUCUAGUUACCAACCCAUCACUCAGAAUUGCGGGUACCUCGACCUUCUUUGUGUUUUAAAUUAAACCGGAAGCUAAAGAGAAUAAUUAUUUAAAUAACGAUUCAAAAUUAUUCAAAAUAUUAUUAUAUAGUGUGGUAAAUAAUAAAAAUAUUAAUAAAUAUGAAAUAUAAAGCAUUGGAAAUAUUAAAUAUUUUUUAUUCAUCUAAUUUGUGAAUUUUGAUUUAAUGAUUUUUGUUUGGUUCAAUAGUUUCAAGAUCAAAUUUGACUACAUGACUGUUUCACGAUCGAAUGCGGUCAUGGUUUUAAAAACACUGUUUUUUAUUCUGGAACCGGAACCAAACUUAAAACGUAAAUAAAUAUAGCAGCUUAAUAUUUUACUUAAAAAAUAUAGCCACAAAAAUACAUACAUGAAGGAGGCUGUUAUUUGUGUUACGAUAUGGCUGGAGCCAAUGGAAGUACCGACUUAACGUCUUGUGAGCUUUGAGGUCUGCCAAAUUGGUUCUUUGAUUCUUUGGAUAGAAAAAUUCUUCAAGUCCACAAACAAGCUACCUUGACUUGUUUAUAUCCGUUGUUUUAAGAUCGGUGCACUCCUUCCCAGUGGCUGCUAUCAUCAGGACAUAUGAUUUGGUUUCUUCAUUGAGAUUUUUGACUUAAAUUUAGAUUUUCCAUUUUCUCAUUUUUUAAAAUCAUUUGGCUCCGGAAGGACCGUGAUCUUUGCCGACUAUUUGUGCAAAAAAUCUCAUGUUUUCAAAUUAAUCCAAUGAAUGAUAAAAAAGAGAGGCUGAUACGACUUUUCCAGCCAAAUAAAAUAUAAUAAUCUACUAAUAAUAGUAAUCCCAAUUAAUUCCAAAUAUUGUGAAUCCCAAUAUUGAAAGGUUGUGUCUUUACAUAAAAACUGAGACUAGUUUUGUUUUUCCAAUAUGCAACUUUUGGAUUUUUUUAAAUAGUUAAAAUAUCUUAUUAGUGUCUUUUUACAAUUAUUAGGUUAGAGAGUUGUGUCAUCUCAAUAGAAAAAUAUUGAUGCAAAAAGAAAGUUUCAAUUUAGCUUGAAAAUAUGUAAUAUUUAUCUACAAAUGAUUAAAAUUGUGGUCAGAUAAUACAAGCCCUAAAAUUAUGUGUUAUCAAAAAGCUGCUACAAAGCAAUCGUUCUAAAUGUAACUAACAAUUGCAUCCCUUUCAGAAACAAUUACAAUGCUUCAUAAAAUAUAUAAGUGACUAACUUUGCUCUUUUAAAUAGGACCUACCUGACGCUGACGUGGCGCGUUGAGGCGUGAGUAAAGUACCUUAUUAUAAUGUAGAUUUACUCUGUGAGUAGUCUGAAAACUGUAAAUGUUUUUUUUUCACAAUUGAACUUGAGCAAACAGAACUUGAAUUUAUGGACUGUAUUGAAUCCAACGUCGCUACAAAGUUUGUGCAUAUUUUCAACUAGCUAUGUCAAAUUCUUCUUCUUAUAUCUAUUUGAUCUUUACUUCAGAUCCAUCCCUCUUUAAGUUGGUUCUGUAGAUCUUCUCUGAAAUGUCCCAGAUUUUUCUGUGAACCCUAGGAAACACCCGCAGUUUUCGUCCAUUGAUUUUUAAUCUGAUUAUUUUCAGACUACAGAAGUUAAAUUUGAUACUUGAGUAACUAAUAAUGACAAUUUUGAUGUGAUGCAGCAUGAUUCAGACACUUGAGAGGUACCAAAAGUGCAAAUAUGGACCUCCAAAGCCCAAUGUGCCUUCAAGAGAUGAGGCCUUAGCAGUUGUACCUCUUCCUUCUCUUUUUUUUUUUCUGCUUAAUCAAAAACAUGAAUUGGUUUGGUUAAUUCAAAUCCAAUAAUGGUAAACUUUUUUUGGCGAGUAGGAACUUAGAAGCCAACAGGAGUAUCUCAAGCUUAAGGAGCGUUACGACGCCUUGCUGAGAGCCCAAUUAAUCGGUUCAUUUUAAGCUACUGCUUCUUUUAAAAAUUCAUGAAGACUUUUGUCUUGAAAUAUUAUAGGAAUCUAUUGGGAGAAGAUCUUGGACCUCUGAGUACAAAGGAGCUUGAGUCACUUGAGAGACGGCUUGAUUCUUCUUUGAAGAAGAUCAGAGCUCUCCGGACACAGCUCAUGCUCGACCAGAUCAAUGAUCUCCAGAGUAAGUUAGCUGAUGGAUAUCAGAUGCCACUCAACUCA